GCCUGGUGUGCUGCAGUCCAUGGGGUCGCAAAGAGUUGGAUGCAACUGAGGGACUGCGCAACAACAUUCAAUCACUGACCUCAUCCUGCCUUCAGAAGCUCUCUGCUGCUCUUCCCAACAUCUCCAAAACAAGAUCACUCUCUCCAGGGGAACAUGCGGGGAGAUUUUUGUUUGUUUGUGUUUCCAUUUAUACAGUUUCCACUGCUUGAUCUGUAACUAACACUUGUAAGAUUAAUCGGGCUGUAGUUUUAAAGACUAUUUACAUAGCCCCACCAUAAUGUAGAGCCUUUUUAAUACUAAAAAAUAAAAAAGAACUUUCCAUCACCAGGCUAUAUAAGUUUGACUAUCUAAACUUACAAACCCUGACUAAAAAACAAGCAAUCAUUUGCUUCUUUCAGUGUUUUAUUCUCUUACACGGCAAGUGGAGCUCUUGGUAGGAACUUGAUAAGUGAGAGGCAGAGAACAUAUGGAAGCAGUUGGUAUAAGGGGAGGACCAGCAUGCUGGGCCCAGAAGGACCCCAGGAAGAUGCUCUCAGUGGAACUCUCAACGUUCAGUGAGAUGACAUGGUUACAUAAUAUCACUUACAGAGCCUGGCUUUUUUCUAGAAACAGUCAAAAUGAGCAGUCAGUUUGGCUGAUGAUUGAACCAUGUCUUACAGGGUUAGAUUCCAGAUUACAAAUGGAAAGUUCUACUGGCUUUCCAAGGCUCUUGGCAUGUAUUUGGGCCACACAGAGGCCAAGGUACCAAGUGAUGUCAGUGCGUUUGGGACUAAGUAUCAGGCACUCCCUGACUAAACCGACAUUCACGCGCGCUCAGUAUGGACUGCCCAAGGGCACCGACAGCCGCAAAGGUCUACAGGCUCACUGUGCUCCAGGUCCAGAGCUAAGUCCUCCCCAGACAGCACACAGCUCAUGCCUCACAAGUCACUAUGUAGAGGGCACGUCCCUUCCAUGCCCUGCCUCUUGGGACUGCUCACAGGAGACGACUGAUGGGGAUGAAGGAGAAUUCUGUAAGACAGCCAGCCCUGAGCUUGGGGUACAGGCUGCUGGUGACAAAUCUGCCAUGGCCAGGGACGUGUGCUAUCUCUGCCAAAGUGUCCAUGUUCAGACAGUUGAGACUGAAUAA
rnacentral:lncRNA from 1 species